GCCUCACAUGCCAUCCUGAUGUCGAGUUUGUGGACAAAGAAGCAGUCGCAGUUACCAGUGUGUCUCGGAAGGCAACUUUCUACAAUGGACCAAGCUCUACGGACUUCAUAAAUGUCCAUGACAUUUUUCUUGAAUGUGAUCAUGAUUCAAUCAUAUACCUUGGGAAGUCUGUUGAACCAACAAUAUAUGAUCUUUUGGGUGAUCAAGAGGUUGAAAUCUGCUUGUUGAAAAAUGGAAAACCAUCAUGGACGAAGAAGUUUCUUUGCUCCAAAGUCAGGUUGUUGUGUCUUAAGACUGGCUCGAGGUGACAAAAUAUGCUGGAUUGGUCUGUGCUUAGGCCCGUCAAGAAUUAAUUCAAGAUAUGUUUAAGGUCUGGCAAGAUUCUCAGCAAGGAACUCUUACUGGUGGCAUGAUAAAGUAUGAAAAUGCAAUCCUACAUGACAUGAACCACCAUCACAAGUUUCUAGUCUUUUGGCUAUUGUUCAUUAGUUGCAAAUGGAGUUUAUUUGUUUAUUUGUAUUGGGAUAAAUUUUAUUUGAAUAUGAGACAUGUUUUUUCUUUUGUGAU